rnacentral:misc_RNA from 1 species
GAAAAACAUUCAUCUCUCUUUACAACUAUCACAUAUUAAUAGUUAUUAUUUUAUAUUAAUAAAAUCUAAUUUGAGUUAAUAAAAGAAAUAAUUUUGAUAUUUUGUGCAUAGUAAUUUAUCAAUUUUAAUUCAAUUUGUGUGUAUAUAUUAAAGAAAAAAAAAUGCAAACUCAUGUAUAGUUCAAAUGAUAACUACAUUCAAAAUUCACUGUGUGACUUAAGUUUAAGUCUAUGUACCACUAGAUACAUUAAUCUUUUUUUUUUAAUAAAAUGACUUGAUUGUUUAUUGGUUUGCUAAUUAUCUAGCCAUGUAGAGAAAAUGGAUUGGGAUUAACACCGCUCCAAAAACUAACUCAAGGGGAGGAGAUUUGUUCAAGUCUUAUAUAUAGCACAAACAUCUUAUCUCAAACUAACGUGAAACAAUAAGUCAAUUUAUACAUAUUUACAUAAAGUUUUAUAAGUAUAUAUAUAUAUAUA